rnacentral:lncRNA from 1 species
CCUUAUUCAUUAAAAAUAUGUGUCUAAAGGAGUUACGAGAUGUGAUCUAGUUAUGACUGAGGAGCUACCCCAAAUAACUGGCUCCCGUAGGGGAACAGAAAAGUGAAUACUAACUACUAAAUGGAAGAAUGUUUGAUGCAUCCAAUCCAUGUGACGUUACUGAGAGAUGCAAGGUGCUCUAGCUGCUGUUUCCUCCAGUCGCCGUGCAACUUCCAUGCACCAACACUUGCUGGAUCUGACUAA